GGUGAAGAAGAAGAAGAAGAAAAAGAAAAAGAGGGGAGCAGAAAGCGCAGAAGAAGAAGGAGGAGCGGUAAUUGUUGGUAUCCUGCAGCCAGGUUCUGUUGGUGGUUCUGAGGUUCUGAUCCGGUCCGGACCUGCUCCUCUUCACAGGGUUAGCUUCACAGCUAGCUGACGCUUACAGCAGGUGAACUUCACGCUCAACACGACUGGUUAACACGGUGACGUCAGCAGGCUUGACGUGACGUUACGUGGUAGCUGAGUUAAAGUUUGCUCAGUGACUGAGACGGUGUCGAUUUGUCCAGAUUAUUAGGAACACCUGGCUGAAGGAUGGAUGUGGCCCUCCAGCUCCUGGUCCUGCAGCAGCUGGCAGAGACCUGUGGGCUCAGCACGGUCCAGCAGGGCCUGCAGCAGGUCUGGAAGCUGCUGCUGCUCUGCCUGGUCUGCAGACUCUGCUUCAGGCUGGAGGGCGUGUACACGCUGAAGCAUGUGGUGUCGCUGCUGGCGGGGACGUACGCCCUCUUCCUGUUCUUCGAGCUGCACAUGCUGUGGGUGCUGCUACUGAGCGCGCUCUGUUACCUUGUCCUGCUGCUAGGCCGACACUUCAGCAGCAGGGGCCUCUUCCUCUCCAUGGUCAUCCUCGUCUACCUCCUCACCGGAGAGCUGCAUCUAAUCGACACGGCGACCUGGAACAGAAUCAGAGGCUCUCAGAUGGUGGUGGCCAUGAAGGCCAUCUCUCUGGGGUUUGACCUGGACAGAGGAGCCGUGGCCCACCUGCCCUCCUUGGCUGAGUUCCUGGGGUACGUCCUCUUUGUGGGCACCGUGGUCUUUGGCCCCUGGAUCAGCUUCUCCACGUAUCAGAGCGCCGUUGAAGGCAGGAAGCUGAGCUGGGCGUGGCUGAGGAGCUCCUCCCUCUGCCUCCUGAAGAGCCAGGUCUGCUUGCUGGUCUCCACCUGCAUUGCCCCGUACCUCUUCACGCUGUUCAUCCCCAUCCAGGGAAACACCGUCACUCAGAGGUGGCUGCAGGCCUAUGAGAACGCAGCCUCCUUCCACUUCAGUAACUACUUUGUGGGUCACCUUAGUGAAGGAAGCAGCAUGCUGGCUGGAGCCGGCUGCUCCGAGGACAAGGACCACGUCAGGUGGGACCUGAGUGUGGUGAAGCCUCUCAGUGUGGAGUGUCCUCGCUCCAUGGUUCUGGUGGUGACGUCCUGGAACAUCCCCAUGUCCCGAUGGCUGAAGACCUACGUCUUUAGAAAUGCCAUGAAACUGGGGACUUUUCCAGCCAUCCUGGUGACGUACACAGCCAGCGCAUUACUGCACGGUCUGAGCUUUCACCUGGGAGCGGUUCUGCUCUCACUGGGCUUCAUCACAUACGUUGAGCAUGUUCUGAGAAAGAAGCUCGCAUCCAUCUUCAGUGCCUGCAUCCUGUCCAGACCCUGCAGCUCAGACUGCAGCCAUCAGCACAAGAAGGUACAGCUCUACACAUCGAGAAAUACUGGGUAAUGUUGCUGAACCUGGUCUUCAGCUUCCUGGCCAUUUUCCACCUCACCUACCUGGGCUCUAUGUUUGAUCCUGGGGUCGAUGAACAGGAAGUAGAAGAGGGUUACUCAGCCGUCCACACCAUCCAGAGGUGGUCUGAACUGAACUGGGCCAGCCACUGGAUCGUGUUUGCCAGCUGGGUCUUCUACCGGCUGAUUCAGUGACGCCUCCGGAGCAGACGGCAGAAACCUGGAGGUGCAGCGUGAGGGGGGAAGAGCUAGGUGUGAAGAUAGAGAUGACAGACCUGAUGGCAGACGGUCUCUGAUUCUUCUGGAAGGUUUGAGUCUGACUGGACUGAGAACAAAACGUCAGAGCUCCCAGCACACUAACAUCUUGUUCACUUAUUCACUUUGGUCAGAACUGGUUCUUUUGGUGUUAAAGUCUGGAAACGUUUCAGUAUGUGAUGAGAGUUUUUACUGUGAUGGUUCAGGUGUUCCCUCUUUUUUACUUUUCCUAUUAAAUGUUUCUAUGUCACCGA